GACGAACGCUGGCGGCGUGCUUAACACAUGCAAGUCGAGCGGUAAGGCCCGUUUCGGGGGUACACGAGCGGCGAACGGGUGAGUAACACGUGGGUGACCUGCCCUCAGCUCUGGGAUAAGCCUGGGAAACCGGGUCUAAUACCGGAUAUGACUCCAUGACGCAUGUUGUGGGGUGGAAAGCCUUGUGCGGCUGAGGAUGGGCCCGCGGCCUAUCAGCUUGUUGGUGGGGUGAUGGCCUACCAAGGCGACGACGGGUAGCCGGCCUGAGAGGGCGACCGGCCACACUGGGACUGAGACACGGCCCAGACUCCUACGGGAGGCAGCAGUGGGGAAUCUUGCGCAAUGGGCGAAAGCCUGACGCAGCGACGCCGCGUGAGGGAUGACGGCCU
rnacentral:rRNA from 1 species